rnacentral:rRNA from 2 species
AAUUGGGCGUUAAGUUGCAGGGUAUAGACCCGAAACCCGGUGAUCUAGCCAUGGGCAGGUUGAAGGUUGGGUAACACUAACUGGAGGACCGAACCGACUAAUGUUGAAAAAUUAGCGGAUGACCUGUGGCUGGGGGUGAAAGGCCAAUCAAACCGGGAGAUAGCUGGUUCUCCCCGAAAGCUAUUUAGGUAGCGCCUCGUGAAUUCAUCUCCGGGGGUAGAGCACUGUUUCGGCUAGGGGGCCAUCCCGGCUUACCAACCCGAUGCAAACUGCGAAUACCGGAGAAUGUUAUCACGGGAGACACACGGCGGGUGCUAACGUCCGUCGUGAAGAGGGAAACAACCCAGACCGCCAGCUAAGGUCCCAAAGUCAUGGUUAAGUGGGAAACGAUGUGGGAAGGCCCAGACAGCCAGGAUGUUGGCUUAGAAGCAGCCAUCAUUUAAAGAAAGCGUAAUAGCUCACUGGUCGAGUCGGCCUGCGCGGAAGAUGUAACGGGGCUAAACCAUG